UACACACCGCCCGUCACACCAUGGGAGUGGGCUGCACCAGAAGUAGAUAGUCUAACCGCAAGGGGGACGUUUACCACGGUGUGGUUCAUGACUGGGGUGAAGUCGUAACAAGGUACCC
rnacentral:rRNA from 1 species